rnacentral:rRNA from 1 species
UACCAGCUCUCCGAGUGGUAGGGAUGAUUAUUGGGCUUAAAGCGUCCGUAGCCGGCUUAGCAAGUCUCCUGUCAAAUUCAGCGACCUAAUCGUUGAGCCGCGGGAGACACUACUAGGCUAGGAGGCGGGAGAGGCCGACGGUAUUCUCGGGGUAGGGGUGAAAUCCUAUAAUCCCGGGAGGACCACCAGUGGCGAAGGCUGUCGGCUAGAGCGCGCUCGACGGUGAGGGACGAAAGCUGGGGGAGCGAACCGGAUUAGAUACCCGGGUAGUCCCAGCUGUAAACGAUGCGGGCUAGGUGUUGGGGUGGCUACGAGCCACUUCAGUGCCGCAGGGAAGCCAUUAAGCCCGCCGCCUGGGGAGUACGGCCGCAAGGCUGAAACUUAAAGGAAUUGGCGGGGAGCACCACAAGGCGUGAAGCUUGCGGUUC